GUGAUCCACCUGCCUUGGCCUCGCAAAGUGCUGGGAUUACAGAUGUGAGCCACCGCCCCCGGCCAGUAAUUCAUUUUGGAAAGCACCUGACCUGUUCCUUUCCAGGGUGUACCAGCCACAGGCAACGAUUCGCUUGGAAAGCUUCUGACCUGGUCCUUUACUGUCCUCCGGCCUGCAAGACCCAGAUUUGGCUUGGGUUUGGCCAUAUUACCUUUGCCUGGAAGGACCAACAGGCACAGAGUGACUGACUCACAGCUUUUCUACCAAGUGGUUGUCAAGCGUUUCCUCGCAUGCCUUCAUUGAUGGAGAGCUCACUACAUCCCCAGCCAGCCCAGAUGGAAAGGGCAGUCCUUUGGUGUUUUCACAGAAAUUCCCCUACCGUGGAAACCAGAAGUGGGGAGCGAGGAGCACCUGCUUAGCUAAUCCUGCCAGAGGCUCGAACAUCCCCUCAGCCAUCAGCUCUGAAGGGGCCCUUGGAGAUCACCUGGCCCCACGGCCUGAUUGCACAGAGAUGGAAGCAACUUCUCUAGGCACAAGCCAUCAGUGGCAGGUCUUCCUCUAAUUGCACUGGCAGCUGACAUUGGUUGAGCCCCUGAUUACCUUCCAGGAACUUUGAUCACCGCUUUAUGCUGUAUGAUCUCAUGUAAUUCAAGCUGCUGUUGGGCACUUGUAAGAUGGUUAUUACUCACAUAACAGAUGAGGUGACCAAGGUUCAAAGAAAUAAAAUAAUUUGUCCAAAGUCA